UGAGUGAGAAUAUUGGUGGUAUUUUGGGCU
rnacentral:piRNA from 1 species